rnacentral:rRNA from 1 species
AGUUGACAUGUAAACGUCACGACUGGAUAGCUAUGUGUGGACGGGGAUAAGUGCUGAAAGCAUCUAAGCAUGAAGCCCCCCCUCAAGAUGAGAUUUCCCAACUUCGGUUAUAAGAUCCCUCAAAGAUGAUGAGGUUAAUAGGUUCGAGGUGGAAGCAUGGUGACAUGUGGAGCUGACGAAUACUAAUCGAUCGAAGACUUAAU